rnacentral:rRNA from 1 species
UACGUAGGGUCCGAGCGUUGUCCGGAAUUACUGGGCGUAAAGAGCUCGUAGGUGGUUUGUCGCGUUGUCCGUGAAAACUCACAGCUCAACUGUGGGCGUGCGGGCGAUACGGGCAGACUGGAGUACUGCAGGGGAGACUGGAAUUCCUGGUGUAGCGGUGGAAUGCGCAGAUAUCAGGAGGAACACCCGUGGCGAAAGCGGCUCUCUGGAACGGUACUGACGCUGAGACGCGAAAGCGUGGGGAGCGAACAGG